GGAAAAGAAACCAACAGGGAUUGCCCCAGUAACGGCGAGUGAAGCGGCAACAGCUCAAAUUUGAAAUCUGCCCGUCGCCGGGUUGAGUUGUAAUUUGUAGAGGAAGCUUUGGGCGCGGUGCCUUCCGAGUCCCCUGGAACGGGGCGCCGGAGAGGGUGAGAGCCCCGUACGGUUGGAUGCCAAGCCUGUGUAAAGCUCCUUCGACGAGUCGAGUAGUUUGGGAAUGCUGCUCAAAACGGGAGGUAAAUUCCUUCUAAAGCUAAACAUCUGCCGGAGACCGAUAGCGCACAAGUAGAGUGAUCGAAAGAUGAAAAGCACUUUGAAAAGAGAGUCAAACAGCACGUGAAAUUGUUGAAAGGGAAGCGCUUGCGACCAGACUUGCCCGGGGCCGAUCACCCUCCGUUCUCGGCGGUGCACUCGGCGCGGGGCAGGCCAGCAUCGGUUCCUGCGGGGGGACAAAAGCCGCGGGAACGUGACUCCCACCGGGAGUGUUAAAGCCCGCGGCACAAUACCCCCGCGGGGACCGAGGAUCGCGCACUGCGAGGAUGCUGGCGUAAUGGUCGUCGGCGACCCGUCUUGAAACACGGACCAAGGAGUGCUGGCGUCCUGCGAGUGUAUGGGUGUAAAACCCACACGCGCAAUGAAAGUGAACGUAGGUGAGAGCUGCGGCGCAUCACCGACCGAUCCUGAUGUUCUCGGAUGGAUUUGAGUAUGAGCAGGGCGCCUGCGACCCGAAAGAUGGUGAACUAUGCUUGGAUAGGGUGAAGCCAGAGGAAACUCUGGUGGAGGCUCGCAGCGGUUCUGACGUGCAAAUCGAUCGUCAAAUCUGAGCAUGGGGGCGAAAGACUAAUCGAAC
rnacentral:rRNA from 1 species